GCCUGGGUGGCUCAGUGGUUGAGCGCCUGCCUUUGGCGCAGGCGGUGAUCCCGGAGUCCUGGGAACAAGUCCUGCAUCAGGCU
rnacentral:tRNA from 1 species